GCGGGAGUAGUGUAGUCUGGUCUAUCACUCGACGUUGCCAACGUUGCGACUUGGGUUCGAAUCCCAGCUCCCGCA
rnacentral:tRNA from 1 species